rnacentral:misc_RNA from 1 species
AAAGUCAGUAUUGAACUUGCACAGCUUUCCAACGAUAGAGAGGUAGCAGAGGUUGCAAAAUAUGAAGCCCUUUCACGUCUUGAAAAGUUAUCCUUGGAUCACAUUGAGGAGAAAAAGAAACAAUAUUCUGGGCUUGCUUCGUUAAAAUCUGCUGCAGAUCAACUCAGGAAGAGCUUCUCUGAUAUCAAUAAUUUACUAGCUG